GGAUCUCUUACUAACUAUAUAAAAUUAUGGCUAAGAUAUCUGUAUGGUUAGCCCUACUAAGUUCUAUGCUUUAAGACAUUAUAGUGGUAAAUAAGGGAACCACCUGCGGUUACAGAAUGGGUGAAGGAAUUGGAGCUCCGGGUAUGGCAGGAGAUGUGGCUGGAAGAUGCCUACCAGGCGCUCUGGUGGUAUGGGGCACAGUACCUGCCCUGGACAGCCGAGCAUGACAAGCCAGAGGGAGAGGAGUUUGAUGGUCCUGGCUUGUUAUGGGAGACUUUUUCAGAGCCUGAGUUUGGGAGCCCUACACAAGCCUGGUUCCGUGAUCUCUUGGAGUGGAGGGAGAGCAGGUAUGACUGGGACGACACUCAUGAGAUUGAGCAAGACCUGGUCCACCUAGUGACCCGAGAGAUGAAGCUGGAGCUGGAGCAGGGCUACCAUGAUCUGUUCCACAUCAGUGAAAAGGCUCAGCAGGGAAGCGGAGACCCAGAUCCAGACCCAUUCAGCUGGGCAGAUAUUGCAGAGUGUUACUGGGAAGAACCCCAGGUGGCUGGUGGAGAUGACACAGAGGUCUCUCCACCGGUCCUGCAGAGAAUUGGGAGCCCAGUCUCCAUUCCCCAGCGGGAGAUACAGCAGGGAAUUGGGAGCCCAGGCUCCAUUCCCCAGCAGCAGGCUGAGUUACAGGGGACAGAGAUGGUUGCUCCUGUCCCCCAGCAGCAGAGUGAAUUGCAGGGAAUUGGGAGCCCAAGCUCCAUUCCCCAGCGGCAGGCUGCGUUACAGGGGACAGAGAUAGUUGCUCCUGUCCCGCAGCAGCAGAGUGAAUUACAGGGAAUUGGGAGCCCAGUCUCCAUUCCCCAGCGGCAGUAUGAGUUAUUGGGAAUUGGGAGCCCAGUCUCCAUUCCCCAGCGGGAGAUACAGCAGGGAAUUGGGAGCCCAGUCUCCAUUCCACAGCGGCAGAGUGUCCUACAGGGAAUAGAGAGCCCAGUCUCCUUUCCCCAGCAGCAGGACUCUGUAUUGGGAGCAGAGACAGUCGGUCUCCCUCCCCCGCGGCUGGAAGUAUAUAUGGGAGAGAAGCUUGUUACCCCCUCUCCCCAGCAGCAGCUUAACGUACCAGGGGGAGAUAGCAAGCCCCACAACCAUGCAGAUGGGACCGUGGUCUCUGCACUUACAGCACAGGGGGUAGGGACGGUCGGUCCUGCCACCCAGCGACAGGGCUGUUUUGCCAAAGGGGAGACAGUCGGUCUCCCCCUUCAGCAGUGGAGCUGUGUAUCUAAAGGGGAGACAGUCAGUCUCCCCCUCCAACAACCAGGCUACUCCCAUGGUAGCGCUGGCACCAGGGCAUUGUACCGCUGGUCUCUGCCCACUCAGCAACCCACCAAUGCAGCUUACCAGUCACCCACACAGCCAUGGUGAGGCACCUGGACAUGGACAAAGUUCUCCUCUACCCAGGUGUAGUAACCAGUUAUUGUGGGUGGCCUGUAGUACUGAUUGUGUUUUUGUGGGUGGGCUGCUGGACUAACAGGGGGACUGACCGGCAGGAGGUCAGAUACCCUGUUAGUCUGUUUGGAAAAGGGGAGAGAUGUGACGAGAUCAAUCUCGCCCCAUUGCAUUGGAGAAGCCUGGUUGCUCGCCUGUUACCUUUGGACUAUGGCCCCAUGUUAAAAGCCUUCUUUUCCCCUGCAGAAAAGGCUUAUUCGUGCCUUUCUGCCCGGCGGUCGGUAGAUUCAAUCUACCGAACUAACGCACAAAUGACUGGACCACCUGGGAGCUGGAGUGUGUCGACAAUUAACCUCCCAGAAGCUGCAGUUACCCGCAGCUUGACGAAUGCUGGGUGGCCGCCAUUCGUAUACCGAACACGAGGUUGCGGCCAUUUUAAACACGCAAAUGCACAGCGGUGUUCGACGCCCAACUCAUGGAACUGAAAAUGGAUACAUUUUGGGCGCGAACACCGCUGAAGCCGCCAACCUCCCUUCUUGUUCGGUAGACGUGUACGAACGGUCCUAUAUUCGGUAGUUGUACCCGAAUACACCAUACCCCAGAUAGGAAUCCCGUGGAGCUCAUUCAUAUGAAAACUGACUUUGUGAACACUUUGGCUCCACGGCGAUUGGACUGUGUGCAUAGGAUCUGAGCGCUAUUCAGUACUUUGGUGCGCUCAGAUCGUAGCUAUCUGGGGACCUGUUGAAUGCCUGUAAAAUAUAACAGUUAUGUAUUUUUAUGUCUUUUUGUUAUUGUCACCUAAAAUGGCGUUUGGGCUCUGUCCUGGGAGAUAAUUGAAUUACUUCACAAUAAUCUCCCUGAGCAGAGUAGAGGGUUCUGGGUAAGAAAAUGGGAAUGGCUAAGUGUGUACCCUGUGAUUGGUUGCUACAAUGCCUUUGUCACAGUCUCCCAUUUGGUCCCCUAGGGGAGUGUCCACCAAGUGGGAGACCUGCAUAAAUACUGGGCAGGUAUCCCUCAUUAAACCAGACCACUGCUUGACCGUCAACACGGAGCUCUGUCUCGUUCUUGGGGGGUAUUUACUGUAUGCUGAUAGAGACUGAUUUCUAGGAGUGUAAGCCGCUUGGGUGCUUUUCCUAUUCGUCUGCUAGCAGCUAUACGUGAGAUUCCAGUUCGGGAGUUGGGAGUGCUAUUUUGUAUGCAGUUCGGGAGUUUGGAGCAUUCCCUUAUAUGCGGUUCGGGAGUUUGCUGUUCUGCAGUAGCUGUGCCUGUGUCUCUGGAAGGGGAAAAUCUUCUAAACGGCGGUUUAACCCUUAUAUGCCUGGGGGUGCUGUUACAGAAUGAGACUACAGAUUGGAUGAAAUCUCCUCAUCCACUUCCUGGUCGAAUAGACCUUGCUAUAGUAGGCUCAGAGGCCUU